rnacentral:tRNA from 1 species
UAGCUCAGUGGUAGAGCACUUGCCUAGCAAGUGUGAGGCACUGGGUUCAAUUCUCAG